AUUGAACGCUGGCGGCAUGCCUUACACAUGCAAGUCGAACGGCAGCACGGGAGCAAUCCUGGUGGCGAGUGGCGAACGGGUGAGUAAUGUAUCGGAACGUGCCCAGUCGUGGGGGAUAACGUAGCGAAAGCUACGCUAAUACCGCAUACGAUCUAUGGAUGAAAGCGGGGGAUCGCAAGACCUCGCGCGGUUGGAGCGGCCGAUAUCACAUUAGGUAGUUGGUGGGGUAAAGGCCCACCAAGCCUGCGAUCUGUAGCUGGUCUGAGAGGACGACCAGCCACACUGGAGCUGAGACACGGUCCAGACUCCUACGGGAGGCAGCAGUGGGGAAUUUUGGACAAUGGGCGCAAGCCUGAUCCAGCAAUGCCGCGUGCAGGAUGAAGGCCUUCGGGUUGUAAACUGCUUUUGUACGGAACGAAACGGCUUUUUCUAAUACAGAGAGCUAAUGACGGUACCGUAAGAAUAAGCACCGGCUAACUACGUGCCAGCCGCCGCAGUAA
rnacentral:rRNA from 1 species